CAGGCUGGGUGGCUGCUGCUCUUACACCAUGUCUACCCUGAUGGCUGGAUCCUGCACAACAGAAGAGGGGAGGCACAGAGCAAGCAUGGCUUAGAGAUGUGGGAGAGUAUGUCUGAGGAAAAUGGUACAGGUUCUUGUGGUGCAAGACUGGCUGUGAGGUGCUGUCACAACACAGAUGCCUAUAACUAAUACCGGGGCAGAUGGUGAAACAGAGCGGGUGUCGACAACUGCCGAAGUCAAAGGCUGGAAAACUUAGUAGGAUUUGGCCACCUAAAAACUCUGAGGUUUCUGUGGCAUUGUUUGUUUGUUUUCUUUGAAAAUCUCAGCCAGAUCUGCAAAACUGUUCAACUCCCACCCUGCAUGUGGCUCUGCUCCAGUCCCAGUCGGAGGAAGGUGCACGGAUCACAGCCCUGGACCCGAGCUCACACCAAAGCAAUUGGGAUGCGAGUGGGGAUCCUGAGCUGCGAGCUGAGGUGCUUCAUUGAGCAGGACCAAGGAUGCUGCCCAUCCCACCUAACUUCCACUAGCUGAAACGUUGCCCUCUGAAGCUGAUCGCUCAGGGCCCUGUGUCAGCAGGGGAGAGCAACGGGUGCUCCCCUCGCCCCCGUGCACACCUCUCCUUUCGCUGAAUGUAGAGGGGGCCAAGGCAGCACUUGGGCAUUUGAAGUUGCAGACAAAACUGUCCUGACCACCCAGGAAUUCAAAAUUCCCCUGUGCAGGCAAGCAACCCUGCAUCCAAGAAAGCAGGGAGUCCAUCCAGCCCUCGCUAACUGAGCUCAGUGUUAAAAGCCCGUCUCCUGGGGACCUGUUCCCAUCUGCCACGGAGCAACUGGUACUAAAGGAGAUUCAAAAUCUCGAUUUGGGCAGCACUGCUUUGCUUGGGGCUAUCUGACCAUCUGCUCCACCAAAAGCCGAUCUACCCGAAUCAGGGUAAAACUCAUUCCUGGUACACUGGAGGCAGGAGGCUGUGCAAAGGAGAGCUGGUGGGAAGCUGAGCUUCUGCAAGGCGCUCCUCAGUGCGAGGAUGGAGCUGGCAGCUUGGGUUGAGUCUGCUGCAGUGAAAGGUUCUACGAACACCCAAAACUCUGCGAUUACAGCCCGUGCCUGUAUGCAAUACAUGUAUGUGACAAACGGCUGUGGGAAAAGUAUUCUCUUUCAAUAGGCAAGUUUUAGUAUAUUUGACAUUUGGUAAAAAUGGGUACACUCUUACACUUAAUGCCACAGGAAAGAAUUUAAAAGGAUUAAAGUACAUUUGACAUGGAGCUGCAUCUUCCAUUUGCCCUGCUGUCAAUCUGCUUGAAACACCUGGUCUGAUGGAAACCGCGAAGAUUUUAUCCCUGAUGUGCUGCUGUGAGAGGAUGACCUAGGAGGUGAAGAUAAAAUGGUAGCAUGUGCCCUAAAUCUUGACCCCUUGAAGUUAAGAGCAAAACUCUUCCAGCUGGAGUGGGCUCAGCCUUUAUCUUUGGUCCAACAGCUCACAGGCUGCCCAUGAUGAACCUUUUUCCUUCAUUGCCCUCAUCUGCAAAACAGGAUUAAAGGUCAGGGUGGAGUGUGCAACAUCUUCCAGAAACACCAGGAAGGUAGCCGAGGUAACCUUGCUACUACAAGAUCACGUGGCCAGUGCAGGAGAGGUGGCACUCUGGAUGUGGUGUAGGACCAAGCCCUGGAGCUGCAGGCUGCCCAGCACAGGGACCAGGCUAGCAUGCAAACUGUACCACGUAGAGGGACAGAUGUCUUCUGUGCUGAGCAGUCAUAAGAGCGCCCAAAACCCCUAGAAAGCAUUUCCAGGUGCUGAAGUAUUUGCCAGUGAUAACCCCAAACCCAUUUCAUGUCCUUUACUGAGGUCAGUGAACUUGUGCUGGCAGUUUUCACCCUGUCAAGGCUGUCACUGCAGAAGCUGCUCACCCUGAGGGCUGCAGGCUUGUCCUAAACUCCAGGACAGAGUUUAGGACUCUGCGCUCCUCCCAGCCCUGUGCGGCUGUGCUGCCUCUGCCUUCCUCCGGAGGAUCGCUUUGAUCUGCCCACAGUCAUGUCAACUGCCAAGAGAAAUGAUCCGUAAUAAGAAGAGAUUCUGGAGCUACUUAGUAGGAAAUUACUACAUGUGAUGUUGCUAAGCAAUGUUAGGCUGGCCUGACUGCCCGGGAUAACACUUCUCCGCUGGAAAACCCGAGAAAGGUCGAGGGGUGUUACGUGGCUGCUGCUUUCUGCUCAGAGCGGUGGAUUCUGGAAUAGAGUAAAUAAUAAUCCUCAUCUUAUUGGGGCUGGUGUGACAGUUAUCAGAAGUGAGAAAGAGAUCUCCCUCGAGAGCAGCAGCAGCUGCGGGAUGGACAGGACGAGGCGGGGGCAGCAGGAGAUGCACAAAGGAGGAGGGAGUCCUGCAAAGGGGAGAGGGAUGUACAGAGACAGGGAAUCACCCCCUGGGAGACAGGGGCUUUGCAGCAAGGUGGCCGUGGGCGUCUUUAGAAAGUGAAAUUAAAUUGUAAGGGGGAGCUGCCAGCCCCAUUGCUCAGCACCUGUGCACGGGGAGCUCCUGCCCUUCGGAAACCCCCCCUCCCUGCACCUGUGGAACCAGAGGCUGGGCUUUGCUGGGCUUUCUAAGAAGCUGAACUUUGCUUUAGUGGGGAGCAAAGCUCUCGAGAUAACAGCUCUUGAGCUACAACAGGUAGCUCUAGUUGGUGAGGCUCUGAGCCCUGCAAUCCAGGGGUUUUCCCUCCAAUUUCUCUGGUGUUGGAGCAGUAAUUUCAGCCCAGCUCAUGGGGACAUGGGGUAGCAUGAACUCGCCCGCAGGAAGCGAAGUCUCCCUGUCAAUUCUCUUUAACCAGUUUCUUCUGGACAAAGACUUCUUCUUUCCUCCUCCACUGCUUUGCUCUAGUCCUAUCUGAUAUUAAAUAUCUCCAGAAGCAGCUACGGUUCAUUGCUGAAUUAAUCUAUUUGUGCAGAAGGUGUCAUAUCAAUGUCCAUUACAAUUUUGCCCCAGCAGCAUCUAGAAGCAAUUUUUCAUCUCUGCCAAUUCUUCAUUAUUUCCAUUUCUUUUUUUUUUUU